rnacentral:rRNA from 1 species
UAAAGCACUUUCAGUAGGGAGGAAGGUAGUGUAGUUAACACCUGCACUAUUUGACGUUACCUACAGAAGAAGCACCGGCUAACUCCGUGCCAGCAGCCGCGGUAAUACGGAGGGUGCGAGCGUUAAUCGGAAUUACUGGGCGUAAAGCGCAUGCAGGCGGCCUGUUAAGUCAGAUGUGAAAGACCCGGGGCGUUAACCUCGGAAUUGCAUUUGAAACUGGCAGGCUAGAGUCUUGUAGAGGGGGGGUAGGAAGUUUCAGGUGUAGCGGUGAAAUGCGUAGAGAUCUGAAGGAAUACCAGUGGCGAAGGCGGCCCCCUGGACAAAGACUGACGCUCAGAUGCGAAAGCGUGGGGAGCAAACAGGAUUAGAUACCCCUGGUAG